rnacentral:pre_miRNA from 1 species
CAUAUACCCCCUCUGUCCGGAAAUACUUGUCGGAGGAAUAGAUGUAUCUAGAUGUAUUUUGGUUCUAGAUACAUUCAUUUUUAUCCAUUUCUCCGACAAGUAUUUUCGGACGGAGGGAGUACUAC